AGAAAAUCAGCACAUUUAAAUUUCUGCAGUGCUUUUCUCCGCCAUCAUUUUUCCCAAAGCAGCACAUACCCAUGAGAGUACCUUACACACAGCACACAAAGGUGAUGGCUGUGAUUCCAAGGAGCUCUGCAGAAAUUACAGAGAUCUCUGGACCAUGGUAACAAGUUAAAAAGUCUAAACUACCCAACAGAAUACUGAACGAACAAGAAAAGCGUAACUGAGAAUUCCAAACCAAAAGACUGGCAAUUUCUGUUAAUCUACAGGGUAACUGGGCAUCUGCUAUUCAAACUGUCAACAAUACAAAAUUAUGAACCUCACUAUUAAAGGGUACACCAUGCAAACUAAGUGGGAAACCAAGG
rnacentral:lncRNA from 1 species